GCCAGGCAUGGUGGCUCAUGCCUGUAAUCCCAGUAUCUCAGGAGGCUGAGGCAGGAGGAUCCUGAGUUCUAAGACAGCCUCAGCAACUUAGGGAGUCCCUAAGCAACCCAAUGAGACCCUGUCUCUA
rnacentral:sRNA from 1 species